rnacentral:lncRNA from 1 species
AAAGAGGAAGCAGAGCGAGAAGCCUCUAGCUUUGACAGAAGCCAGCAGAGGAGAGUGAAAUACAAGUGCACUGGAAGUAGACACGCCUCUGUUACAGGGCAUGACCGAGAAGCUCAGCAAAGUACGGCAGUGGGCCUUCAGAGAGAGGGGGAAAAAAAAAAAACAAAAAAACCCCCCAAAACCUGUGAACGUGUUGGGAUGUUUCUGGAGAAAAUACUUUGACGUGAUGCACUCCAUCAGGAUGUCUGCAUUUUGACCUGGUCUGCCAUCCAGGAGAAGGGCUAAGGAAGCUGGAUGAAACUGCUUUCAGUGCUCUUUUCAGGGCAAGCACUGAAAUAUUUCCACUGAGAUUAAAUUUGCAGCUGCAGGCUGGAACACCAACAGACUCAGUUAUCCUCAGUUGAUUUAAUAGGCCUCCAUUAGUGAAAUUUGCAUGUACGGUAAA